AUUGAACGCUAGCGGGAUGCUUUACACAUGCAAGUCGAACGAGUGGCGGACGGGUGAGUAAUAUAUCGGAACGUGCCAGUAGCCGGGGAUAACUUCUCGAAAAAGUUGCCAAUUCCGCAUACUAUUUGAGCCGGCGGUAUCGGAUUAGCUAGUUGGUGGGGUAAAGGCUCACCAAGGCCACGAACCGUAGCUGGUUUUAGAGGACGACCAGCCACACGGGGACUGAGACACGGCCAAGACUCCUACGGGAGGCAGCAGUGGGGAAUUUUGGACAAUGGGGGAAACCCUGAUCCAGCCAUCCCGCGUGUAUGAGAAGGCCUUCGGGUGGUAAAGUACUUUUGGCAGAGAAGCGGUAUCUGCAGAAUAAGCACCGGCUAACUACGUGCCAGCAGCCGCGGUAAUAC
rnacentral:rRNA from 1 species